GGGAUAGAAAAGAACGCCUGAAGAGAGAUCUAGGCAAAAACAAAAUCAAAGAAAAAGGAAAGAGGCAUCUGAAAAGGGGGCUGACAAGCGCAACUUUUCAACAGGGACAGACCCCCCCCCUCCUCGUCUUCUUCACAGACCCAACCCCAUCGGAUAUCCAUCUCAUCGACACCCCCAAGAACCCAGCAGCAGCAACUCGCACAAAUGACCCCGGCUCUCUUCGUCAAAUAGAGAACACCAGAAAGACCCCACCCUAAACGUCCUCCAUUUAUUUCCGGCAAGUUUUGGUUUAAUUUGAGUUUUCCAGCGAGUUCCGAGUUCGUCGAAGGUCGUAAUCUGAGGUUUUCGGGCAGAUUUGCGGUUCCGUCGUGGUUGUCUCUGUCAAAGGUUUCCGGUGUUAAGUAUUUUCAAAUUCAAAAAUUGCUUUGUUUUGAGGUCCGUUCGUUGUUCUGAUUUCGAUUUCGGCUCUAAAUGUUGAUAUCUGUUUAAUCAUUCAAGCUGUGAUGAGUGAAAUAUAAUUCUGAUAAUUGCAUGAUUUUCGUGGAUCUGUGUUAAUUAAUUGACCUUAAUGUUUUGUUAAAUAUUUUGUCACACAGUUGGAGCCCAGUUGAAGCUACUUCGCCGAUUUCUUUGUUGAAAGUGUGAUGUUGUGUGUUUUAUAUCGCUUGAUAUCCGAUUUUAAUUACACGAUUAAGUGAAGAGUUUGAAUACAUGGAGUUAAUUGUCAACUACUUCAUGGAAAGUUUGUUUGUUCAAAUGAUGAAAAGUGUUUCAUGUAGUAUCUUUGUAUUUGUUUUUUCUUUAGUAAUAUUAAGUGGCGUUAUUUUGAGUGA
rnacentral:lncRNA from 1 species